GUUUACUCUUAGCUUCUAUACUCCAUUUUAGUGAUUCCAUGCUAGAGGGCUACACCCCCACCCUUGAGACUAGUUCCUCAUAGUUUGACACUUAAAAAUAUAUGUAGCCCUUGGUAGACUGGGAAAAAAAUUAAUGUUA